rnacentral:rRNA from 1 species
AUUGAACGCUGGCGGCAGGCCUAACACAUGCAAGUCGAACGAGUGGCGGACGGGUGAGUAAUGUCUGGGAACCUGCCCGAUGGAGGGGGAUAACUACUGGAAACGGUAGCUAAUACCGCAUAACCUCGGAUGUGCCCAGAUGGGAUUAGCUAGUAGGUUGGGUAACGGUUCACCUAGGCGACGAUCCCUAGCUGGUCUGAGAGGAUGACCAGCCACACUGGAACUGAGAAACGGUCAAGACUCCUACGGGAGGCAGCAGUGGGGAAUAUUGCGCAAUGGGCGCAAGCCUGAUACAGCCAUGCCGCGUGUAUGAAGAAGGCCUUCGGGUUGUAAAGUACGUUCAGCGGGGAGGCGUUACCCGCAGAAGAAGCACCGGCUAACUCCGUGCCAGCAGCCGCGGUAAUAC